GACGAACGCUGGCGGCGUGCUUAACACAUGCAAGUCGAACGAAGUGGCGAACGGGUGAGUAACGCGUAAUCAACCUGCCCUUCAGAGGGGGAAAACAGUUGGAAACGACUGCUAAUACCGCAUACUGAAGGAGGGGAUUGCGUCUGAUUAGCUAGUUGGAGGGGUAACGGCCCACCAAGGCGAUGAUCGGUAGCGGGGCUGAGAGUAUGAUCCGCCACACUGGGACAGAGACACGGCCCGGAAUCCUACGGGAGGCAGCAGUGGGGAAUUUUGGACAAUGGGCGCAAGCCUGAUCCAGCCAUGCCGCGUGUCUGAAGAAGGCCUUCGGGUUGUAAAGGACUUUUGUUAGGGAAGCGGUACCUAAAGAAUAGGCACCGGCUAACUACGUGCCAGCAGCCGCGGUAAUUC
rnacentral:rRNA from 1 species